rnacentral:rRNA from 1 species
GGAAUAUUGGACAAUGGGCGAAAGCCUGAUCCAGCCAUGCCGCGUGUGUGAAGAAGGUCUUCGGAUUGUAAAGCACUUUAAGUUGGGAGGAAGGGCAGUUACCUAAUACGUGAUUGUUUUGACGUUACCGACAGAAUAAGCACCGGCUAACUCUGUGCCAGCAGCCGCGGUAAUACAGAGGGUGCAAGCGUUAAUCGGAAUUACUGGGCGUAAAGCGCGCGUAGGUGGUUUGUUAAGUUGGAUGUGAAAUCCCCGGGCUCAACCUGGGAACUGCAUUCAAAACUGACUGACUAGAGUAUGGUAGAGGGUGGUGGAAUUUCCUGUGUAGCGGUGAAAUGCGUAGAUAUAGGAAGGAACACCAGUGGCGAAGGCGACCACCUGGACUAAUACUGACACUGAGGUGCGAAAGCGUGGGGAGCAAACAGGAUUAGAUACCCGGG